GUUUGUAGGAGAAUUUUGAGACUCCCCAUGAGUGUGAUGACGUCACAUGUUAAAGUUUUUUUGUUAAAGGGUAUUCCUGUCAAUGUUGAUCAGACUGUUUCCUCCAAACUCUCAAUGCUUCAUGAUAAAAAUUAUAUACACUCAUAUAUCACAUGUAUAACUAUAUACUAAUAUAAUCAAUAUGUAAUCCAAUAACUCUAUAUCAGUAGUUGCAGCAAAGCUUAUGGAAACGCAAGAAACCACAGUAUCCACUGUAGAAAAAAGGCAAACACAGAAGACUUAAAAAAACCAUACUUACUCAGCAGAAAAUUAGUGCCAACUAGAUAUGCUAGAAAACUAAUACUUUACAGUGAUCCAUGUGUAACCUGAAUAAAGUAAAAAAGGUACAGGAGGCUAUAACUCUGUGAACUUGUAUGUAUAAUGGAAAAAUACAGAAAGUAAUGACGUGUAUGCAUAGUGAAAAAGUACAGAGUAAGGGAAAAUUGGAAAAAUACAGACAGCAAUGACGUGGCGUAUGCGUAAGUGGGAAAGUACAAAGUAAGGGAAAAUUGGGGUACCUGUCCACUGAUGAAGAUUAAUUAAGAACAUCAAUAGACUAAUUAAAGACAUCAAUAGAACUAAAAAUCAGUUUUGGGGCACCUGUCCACUAUGAUAAGAUUAAUUAUUGAUACAUUAAGAACAUCAUAAGGACCGAAAAUCAUCUUUAUGCCAAAAAGGUCAAGUUGACCCACGAACAGGAAAGUGAAACUCCUUACUGUGCCAGAAAAGACCAGAUGGCUGAUAUUUUUAGAAAUGUGUUAAAGGGGGGUUGUGGGCACAAAUUGUGUAUAAAAUGUAUGCAAAACUGACAAUCGAGGUUCAAUUCCCCUGAAUUGAUCCGGCUUUGUGCACCUGUGCAAUAAAGUCUAAACUUUCUGAAGAGCUUGCUGCUGUUGUGUCUUUUCCCUCCUGAAAUUGUUUUCUACAGAUUGGCGAUUGGCGUGGAAGUCUGUCGUUUCCUAGACACGACAUUUGGGGGCUCGUCCGGGAUACGAAAAAGGUACCAUCCUUUCGUAAAACCAACCCGGACACUAACACCGAAAAUUGAGUGAAAGAAAAGCAGCGAGCUCUUCAGAAACGUGCGCUACGAACCAGGUGCCAGAGACUUGGGAGGAGAGAAACCCAAAAAAGGCCACCUGCAAGAGCUCUGGUAAAAGCGUGUUUGGGAAAAACACUGUCCUCUGAGGUAUAAAGUAAGAAAAAAGUAUUGUUGGUAAGGUAAAAUAUUGUUCAACUGUGUUUAUGCUUAGAUUAGAUGCUUGUGCUUGCGCAGAACUAACGUUGUAUUGAGGAAAAAAUUGUGAUUUAUGUGUAGGUGCAACUAUAAAGGAAAAUAAGUAAAGAAACGUGAAGUGUGUAGAAAGUAUAAAAAAGGGGAAAAUAAAGGUUAAAUAUAUAAUAAAAUCUUCAAAUAGGGAAAUAGGAUAAAAGUAUUAAAAUAACCAUAAAAUAAUGGAAAAAGGAGAGAGAACGCCGGUUGAAAUAAUCACAGGAAAAUAUCCUAAUUGUAAAAAGGAGAUA